rnacentral:rRNA from 1 species
UACGGGGGGGGCAAGCGUUGUUCGGAAUUACUGGGCGUAAAGGGCUCGUAGGCGGCCAACUAAGUCAGACGUGAAAUCCCUCGGCUUAACCGGGGAACUGCGUCUGAUACUGGAUGGCUUGAGGUUGGGAGAGGGAUGCGGAAUUCCAGGUGCAGCGGUGAAAUGCGUAGAUAUCUGGAGGAACACCGGUGGCGAAGGCGGCAUCCUGGACCAAUUCUGACGCUGAGGAGCGAAAGCCAGGGGAGCAAACGGG